UAGCACGUUGAAUACACCAGUUUCCAUUGGAUCACUGAAGUUAAGCAACGCUGCGCGUGGUAGGUAUACGGAAAAGUGAACAUUUGU
rnacentral:rRNA from 1 species